CGCACAUUGCGCCCUCUGGUAUUCCGGGGGGCAUGCCUGUUCGAGCGUCAUUUCUGAACCUCAAGCUCAAGCUUGGUUUUGGGCCUUCGUCGUCUCUUUUUUAGGGGUGACUGGCUCUAAAUGCUUUGGCGACAGUUCUUCAACUCAAGCGUAGUGAAAAUUCCGUUUUGGGGUUUGAAGGCCUGUUUGCUUCUAAAGAACAAAAAUACUUUUACAAUAGAUUGACCUCGGAUCAGGUAGGGAUACCCGCUGAACUUAA
rnacentral:misc_RNA from 1 species